rnacentral:rRNA from 1 species
CGGCGGACGGGUGAGUAACACGUGGGUAACCUACCUAUAAGACUGGGACAACUUCGGGAAACCGGAGCUAAUACCGGAUAAGAUAUCGAACCGCAUGGUUCGAUAGUGAAAGANGGUUUUGCUAUCACUUAUAGAUGGACCCGCGCCGUAUUAGCUAGUUGGUGAGGUAACGGCUCACCAAGGCAACGAUACGUAGCCGACCUGAGAGGGUGAUCGGCCACACUGGAACUGAGACACGGUCCAGACUCCUACGGGAGGCAGCAGGG